rnacentral:tRNA from 1 species
UCCCUGGUGGACUAGUGGCUAGCAUCCAGUGCUCUGAUUGCUGUGGUCUGGGUUCGAUCCCUAGUCAGGGAA